GAUCGGGAGAGACCGCCGAAAGGCGGCGCCGAAGGGGAACGCAGAAGCUCUCAGGCAAAAAGGACCGGUU
rnacentral:ncRNA from 1 species